rnacentral:rRNA from 1 species
GCGGAGGAAAAGAAACUAACUAGGAUUCCCCCAGUAGCGGCGAGCGAAGCGGGAAAAGCCCAAAAUGAAAAGCCUGCUUGCAGGCGUUGUAGUUGAGCGUUCUUGGGGUGUCAGUGUGGGCAAGUUGCAUGAAAAUGCACGCCGUGGAGGGUGAUAGCCCCGUCCAACCUACACAGGACACGCCGUACCAGAACGUUUCUGACGAGUCGGGUAGCUUGGGAAUGCUGCUCCAAUUGGUGGUAAAUCUCAUCAAAGGCUAAAUAACGGCUGGAGACCGAUAGCGAACAAGUACCGUGAGGGAAAGAUGAAAAGCACUUUGAAAAGAGGGUGAAAAGAACCUGAAACCGUCACGGGGGAAGCGGAUUGCGUUGGCCUGGUGGGCGCCUGUGUGUUCAGCCCUUUGGGUGCAUUGGCACAGGUGCUUAUCCGUCGUGGGUUUUCGAGAGUCGAAUUUGGGCUCUCGGGGGCUGAGGGCUCCCUUCGGGUGAGGACGGCGGAGUGACGACGCGAUACGACCCGUCUUGAAACACGGACCAAGGAGUCUAGCGCGAUUGCGAGUCGGAGGGUGCAAGCCCGUGGGCGUAGUGAAAGCGAGUGUAAAAACGAGCAGUUUGAGGCGGCAUAAGAUCGUUGAUCUUAAGACUGACCUAGAGCAGUUGCGCUGGGACCCGAAAGAUGGUGAACUAUGCCGGAGUAGGGCAAAGCCAGAGGAAACUCUGGUGGAGGCUCGUAGCGGUGCUGACGUGCAAAUCGCUCGUCCAACUUGGGUAUAGGGGCGAAAGACUAAUCGAACCAUCUAGUAGCUGGUUCCCUCCGAAGUUUCUCUCAGGAUAGCGGGCCGACAAGUUGUUUUGUGCGGUAAAGCGAAUGAUUAGCGUAUAUUGGGGGCAUCUAGUCUUCGGGCGAUUCUCAAACUUUAAAUGCGCAAGGGUGUCGCUGCUUAAUUGAGCGGCACCGGCAAAAACGUCGGCCCUGUGGGCCACUUUUGGUAAGCAGAACUGGCGAUACGGGAUGAACCGUAAGCAUGGUUAAGGCGCCAGACUGCCCGCUUAUAGAUCCCAAAAAAGGUGUUGAUUCAUCGAGACAGCAGGACGGUGGCCAUGGAAGUCGGAAUCCGCCAAGGAGUGUGUAACAACUCACCUGCCGAAUGAAUUAGCCCUGAAAAUGGAUGGCGCUGAAGCGGGCGGCCGACACCAUGCCGUCUGGAAAAGACAUUCAGAUGAGUAGGAGGGCGUGGGGGUCGUGUCGAAGCGUGCGUGCAGACGCGCGUGGAACGGCCUCUAGUGCAGAUCUUGGUGGUAGUAGCAAGUAUUCAAGCGAGAUCCUUGAAGGGCGAAGCGGGGAAGGGUUCCACGCGAACAUUGAUUGGGCGUGGGUGAGUCGUUCCUAAGCCGAGUGGCGAUUGCUAAGUAGCGGCGAAAGGGAAGCGGGUUGACAUUCCCGCACACGGAUGUGGAGGCGGCGACGCAUUAUUGGGGCGAACACGCUGGCGAUGGCGCUGGGCAGAGUUGUCUUUUCUGUUUGACCGCUUUAUGCGCGCGGUGUGGAAUCCGCUUGUCGGGAGAAACACGCGUGUACGGGCAGAGCGCCGGGGCUUUUCCGGCGUCCAGCUCGCCAUCGACGGCCCUUGAAACUUUGCCUGCUGAUUUAGAUCCACGCCGUGGCGUACCGAUCACCGCAUCAGGUCCCCGAGGUGAACAGCCUCUGCUCGAUAUGAAAAAUGCAGGUAAGGGAAGUCGGCAAAUUAGACCCGUAACUUUGGGAAAAGGGUUGGCUCUAGUGCUGCGUAGGAGUGGUUGUCGGACGCUGGCGUUUCUGGCAUGGCGGAUCGGCGCGGGACCCUCACGGGGCUUGCUCUGACUGCUAGGCUGGUUGCGCCACGGCCGACGACGCCUACAGCAUGCAGCAGACUAGAACUGCAACGGGCAAAGGGAAUCCGACUGUUUAAUUAAAACAAAGCAUUGCGAGGGCCGUGGCCGGUGAUGACGCAAU